UGGAAGUAAAAGUCGUAACAAGGUCUCCGUUGGUGAACCAGCGGAGGGAUCAUUAUAGAGUUUUCUAAACUCCCAACCCAUGUGAACUUACCUUUUGUUGCCUCGGCAGAAGUUAUAGGUCUUCUUAUAGCUGCUGCCGGUGGACCAUUAAACUCUUGUUAUUUUAUGUAAUCUGAGCGUCUUAUUUUAAUAAGUCAAAACUUUCAACAACGGAUCUCUUGGUUCUGGCAUCGAUGAAGAACGCAGCGAAAUGCGAUAAGUAAUGUGAAUUGCAGAAUUCAGUGAAUCAUCGAAUCUUUGAACGCACAUUGCGCCCAUUAGUAUUCUAGUGGGCAUGCCUGUUCGAGCGUCAUUUCAACCCUUAAGCCUAGCUUAGUGUUGGGAAUCUACUUCUCUUAGGAGUUGUAGUUCCUGAAAUACAACGGCGGAUUUGUAGUAUCCUCUGAGCGUAGUAAUUUUUUUCUCGCUUUUGUUAGGUGCUAUAACUCCCAGCCGCUAAACCCCCAAUUUUUUGUGGUUGACCUCGGAUCAGGUAGGAAUACCCGCUGAACUUAAGCAUAUCAAUAAGCGGAG
rnacentral:rRNA from 1 species